rnacentral:lncRNA from 1 species
GGUGCCUAUCACAGAAAGUUGUGCGAGUGUGAUAAGAUUUUACUGGAAUGUGUUUUACGGAGUGAAUACCAUAGUGAGCACUAUAAUUACUGCUCAGCGGACAAAAAGUAAAAGAUCAACUUUUGGAUAAAAUUGUUAUUUACAUUAGUCUUUGUAAUCUGUUCCAUAAACUUGAAGGCUCUAUUUUAACUAUGUAUUUGAUAUGCAAGUAGAACUUGCUCAUCUUUGUGUUACAUUUUAAUGUUAGAGAUGGUUUGACAAGACAUAAUUAUGUUGCAGAAAGGAAAAUUUAUAUUUUGUUAAAAAAUCUCGUAACUUGUAACAAAUAUUUUAUCUGAAAUAUCACAUACAUAUUAUAAUAAGAU